UCCGAAAGUCCGAGUCGGACCUCCGCUGGUUUUUUUCCGCGGUGAUAUUCCAAAAAAAGGUUAUCACCGGGUAAAAACUGGUAGAGGUCCGAUCCAGUCAG
rnacentral:pre_miRNA from 1 species